rnacentral:rRNA from 1 species
CACGGGGGGAGCAAGCGUUGUUCGGAAUCACUGGGCGUAAAGGGCGUCUAGGCGGUUAGGUAAGUGGGAUGUGAAAUCCCUCGGCUCACCCGAGGACCUGCAUCCCAAACUGCUUAGCUUGAGUAUGGGAGAGGAUGAGGGAAUUCCUGGUGUAGCGGUGAAAUGCGUAGAUAUCAGGAGGAACACCGGUGGCGAAGGCGCUCAUCUGGCCCAAUACUGACGCUGAAGCGCGAAAGCUAGGGGAGCAAACAGG